rnacentral:rRNA from 1 species
AACCUGAAACCGUGUGCUUACAAGUAGUCAGAGCCCGUUAAUGGGUGAUGGCGUGCCUUUUGUAGAAUGAACCGGCGAGUUACGAUUUGAUGCAAGGUUAAGCAGUAAAUGUGGAGCCGUAGCGAAAGCGAGUCUGAAUAGGGCGUUUAGUAUUUGGUCGUAGACCCGAAACCAGGUGAUCUACCCUUGGUCAGGUUGAAGUUCAGGUAACACUGAAUGGAGGACCGAACCGACUUACGUUGAAAAGUGAGCGGAUGAACUGAGGGUAGCGGAGAAAUUCCAAUCGAACCUGGAGAUAGCUGGUUCUCUCCGAAAUAGCUUUAGGGCUAGCCUCAAGUGAUGAUUAUUGGAGGUAGAGCACUGUUUGGACGAGGGGCCCCUCUCGGGUUACCGAAUUCAGACAAACUCCGAAUGCCAAUUAAUUUAACUUGGGAGUC